UUUAAGGUCUAACCUGCCCAAUGAGGAUUUAAAUGGCCGCAGUAUUUUGACUGUGCAAAGGUAGCAUAAUUAUUAGUUUUUUAAUUGAAAGCUUGUAUGAAGGGUUGGACGAGAUAAAAUCUGUCUUUAUUUAAAUUAAAGUAUAAUUUAACUUUUAAGUCAAAAGGCUUAAAUGUAUAUAAAAGACGAGAAGACCCUAUAGAUCUUUAUUUAGUUAAGAUUUUAAUAAUUUAGGAUUAUUUUAAUUUGGAGUCUUAAUUGAAUUUUAUUGGGGUAAUAUAAAGAUUAAGUGAAUUCUUUUUAUUUAUGACAUUAAUUUAUGAAUAUAUGAUCCAUUAAUAUUGAUUAUAAGAUUAAGUUACCUUAGGGAUAACAGCGUAAUUUUUUUGGAGAGCUCAUAUCGAUAAGAAAGUUUGCGACCUCGAUGUUGGAUUAAAAAUUAGCUUGGGUGCAGAAGCUCAAGAUUUUGGUCUGUUCGACCAUUAAAUUUUUACAUGAUCUGAGUUCAGACCGGCGUAAGCCAGGUCGGUUUCUAUCUUUAUUCAGAUAAAAUAUUUUAGUACGAAAGGACCAAGUAUUUAAUAUAAUUAUAUUUAUUUUUU
rnacentral:rRNA from 1 species